AAUUACGGUUAAAUUACUACUUUUAAAAUUGGUUUUCACUUUAUUUUUUACAUGAAAUUUAUUUUUGUAUGUGACUUUUAAGGGAUUCCUUCACUAGACCUUAGCUCAUAUAAGAAUGUGGGCAUACACCAUAAUUUUAGUCAUCACCAGAAAACACAAAUACAGCAAUUGUGCGUUGGCGAAUUGAUCUUCGUCCGACACCUUAUUAAGUUAGCUUACAGUGCUCCUACUCUUGCGUGCUUAAUAUACUGGAGGGAAAGCUUAUCCUCCUUCGUUUAUUAAUUUUUACUUGUUAUCAA